GGUGAAGGUGACACAGCGGGCUUCUCUCUGACACAGACUCUGGUGGGUGAAGGUAGCAGGCUUCUCUCUGACACAGACUCUGGUGGGUGAAGGUAGCUGGCUUCUCUCUGACACAGACUCUGGUGGGUGAAGGUAGCGAGGCUUCUCUCUGACACAGACUCUGGUGGGUGAAGGUAGCGAGGCUUCUCUCUGACACAGACUCUGGUGGGUGAAGGUAGCGAGGCUUCUCUCUGACACAGACUCUGGUGGGUGAAGGUAGCGAGGCUUCUCUCUGACACAGACUCUGGUGGGUGAAGGUAGCGAGGCUUCUCUGACACAG